CCUACGGGUGGCAGCAGUAGGGGAUAUUGCACAAUGGGGGAAACCCUGAUGCAGCGACGCCGCGUGGGCGAAGAAGUAUUUCGGAAUGUAAAGCCCUAUCAGCAGGGAAGAAGAAAUGACGGUACAUGAGAAAGAAGCACGGGCUAAAUACGUGACAGAAGCCGCGGUAAUACGGAGGGGGCAAGCGUUAUCCGGAUUUACUGGGUGUAAAGGGAGCGCAGGCGGCAGUGCAAGUCUGAUGUGAAAGCCCGCGGCUCAACCGCGGGACGGCAUUGGGAACGACCGGGCUGGAGUGCCGGAGAGGUAAGUGGAAUUCCUAGUGUAGCGGUGAAAUGCGUAGAUAUUAGGAGGAACACCAGUGGCGAAGGCGGCCUACUGGACUGUAACUGACGCUGAGGCUCGAAAGCGUGGGGAGCAAACAGGAUUAGAUACCCGUGUAGUC
rnacentral:rRNA from 1 species